GGUCAAGUUAUUAAGGGUGCAGGGCGGAUGCCUUGGCACUAGGAGCCGAUGAAGGACGUGAUAAGCUGCGAUAAGCUUCGGGGAGUUGCACGUAAACUUUGAUCCGAAGAUUUCCGAAUGAGGAAACUCACUUAGAGUAAUGUCUAAGUAUCAUUAAGUGAAUA
rnacentral:rRNA from 1 species